AAAGAUUAAGCCAUGCAUGUCUAAGCACAUGCCUUAAUACGGUGAAGCCGCGAAUAGCUCAUUACAACAGCCACCGUUUACUAGAAUAUAGUUAUCCUACUUGGAUAACUGUGGCAAUUCUAGAGCUAAUACAUGCAAAAAAGCUCUGCCCGCAAGGAACGAGCGCAUUUAUUAGAAUAAAAACCAAUCGGGUUUCGGCCCGUAAUUUGGUGAAUCUGAAUAACUUUGCCAAUCGCACAGUCCUAGUACUGGCGAUGUAUCUUUCAAGUGUCUGCCUUAUCAACUUUCGAUGGUAGGUUAUACGCCUACCAUGGUAGUAACGGGUAACGGAGAAUAAGGGUUCGACUCCGGAGAGGGAGCCUGAGAAACGGCUACCACAUCCAAGGAAGGCAGCAGGCGCGCAAAUUACCCACUUCCAGAACGGAGAGGUAGUGACGAAAAAUAACGAGACAGUCCUCUUCGAGGUCUGUCAUCGGAAUGGGUACAAUUUAAAUCCUUUAACGAGGAUCUAUUGGAGGGCAAGUCUGGUGCCAGCAGCCGCGGUAAUUCCAGCUCCAAUAGCGUAUAUUAAAGUUGUUGCGGUUAAAACGCUCGUAGUUGGAUCUGCGGCCUCGGAGAACGGUCCCCCGAAAGGGUGGUCACUGUCUCUCCUAGCCUAAAUUCGAGUCGUCUCUAGGUGCUCUUUACCGGGUGCUUAGAGUGACUAGAACGUUUACUUUGAAAAAAUUAGAGUGCUUAAAGCAGGCGAAAUAGCCUGAAUAAGGUGCAUGGAAUAAUGGAAUAGGACCUCGGUUCUAUUUUGUUGGUUUUCGGAGCCUGAGGUAAUGAUUAAGAGGAACAGAUGGGGGCAUUCGUAUUCCGGCGCUAGAGGUGAAAUUCUUGGACCGCCGGAAGACGGACGACUGCGAAAGCAUUUGCCAAGAAUG
rnacentral:rRNA from 1 species